rnacentral:rRNA from 1 species
UAACAGGAGAAGCUUGCUUCUCGCUGACGAGCGGCGGACGGGUGAGUAACGCGUAGGAAUCUACCCAGUAGCGGGGGAUAGCCCGGGGAAACUCGGAUUAAUACCGCAUACGCCCUAUGGGGGAAAGCAGGGGAUCUUCGGACCUUGCACUAUUGGAUGAGCCUGCGUUGGAUUAGCUAGUUGGUGGGGUAAAGGCCUACCAAGGCGACGAUCCAUAGCUGGUCUGAGAGGAUGAUCAGUCACACCGGAACUGAGACACGGUCCGGACUCCUACGGGAGGCAGCAGUGGGGAAUAUUGGACAAUGGGGGCAACCCUGAUCCAGCCAUGCCGCGUGUGUGAAGAAGGCCUUCGGGUUGUAAAGCACUUUAAGUUGGGAGGAAGGCUCUGUAGUUAAUACCUGCAGGGAUUGACGUUACCAACAGAAUAAGCACCGGCUAACUCCGUGCCAGCAGCCGCGGUAAUACGGAGGGUGCAAGCGUUAAUCGGAAUUACUGGGCGUAAAGCGCGCGUAGGCGGCUGAUUAAGUCGGGUGUGAAAGCCCCGGGCUCAACCUGGGAACUGCAUCCGAUACUGGUCGGCUAGAGUAUGAGAGAGGGAGGUA